rnacentral:rRNA from 1 species
UACGGGGGGGGCAAGCGUUGUUCGGAAUUACUGGGCGUAAAGGGCUCGUAGGCGGCCAACUAAGUCGGAUGUGAAAUCCCCAGGCUCAACUUUGGAACUGCAUCCGAUACUGGAUGGCUUGAAUUCGGGAGAGGGAUGCAGAAUUCCAGGUGUAGCGGUGAAAUGCGUAGAUAUCAGGAAGAACACCCGUGGCGAAGGCGGCUCUCUGGGACGGUACUGACGCUGAGACGCGAAAGCGUGGGGAGCAAACAGG